AUUGAACGCUGGCGGAAUGCUUUACACAUGCAAGUCGAGCGGCAGCGCGGGGCAACCUGGCGGCGAGCGGCGAACGGGUGAGUAAUGCAUCGGAACAUGUCCAUUCGUGGGGGACAGCCCGGCGAAAGCCGGAUUAAUACCGCAUACGCCCUUUGGGGGAAAGCGGGGGACUUCGCAAGAGGCCUCGCGCGAAUGGGUUGGCCGAUGUCCGAUUAGCUAGUUGGUGGGGUAAAGGCNCACCAAGGCGAUGAUCGGUAGCUGGUCUGAGAGGAUGAUCAGCCACACUGGGACUGAGACACGGCCCAGACUCCUACGGGAGGCAGCAGUGGGGAAUUUGGACAAUGGGGGCAACCCUGAUCCAGCCAUUCCGCGUGAGUGAAGAA
rnacentral:rRNA from 1 species